rnacentral:rRNA from 1 species
UACAGAGGUCUCAAGCGUUGUUCGGAUUCAUUGGGCGUAAAGGGUGCGUAGGCGGCGCGGUAAGUCGGGUGUGAAAUCUCCACGCUUAACGUGGAGGGGCCAUUCGAAACUGCUGUGACUCGAGUCCGGUAGGGGAGUGUGGAAUUCCCGGUGUAGCGGUGAAAUGCGCAGAUAUCGGGAGGAACACCAGUAGCGAAGGCGGCACUCUGGGCCGGUACUGGACGCUGAGGAGCGGAAAGCGUGGGGAGCGAACAGG